rnacentral:tRNA from 1 species
UAUGCCUCAGUGGUAGAGCGCUUGCCUAGCAUGCAUGAAGCUCUGGGUUCGAUUCUCAGUA